CCUACGGGCGGCAGCAGUGAGGAAUAUUGGUCAAUGGACGAGAGUCUGAACCAGCCAAGUAGCGUGAAGGAUGACUGCCCUGUGGGUUGUAAGCUUCUUUUAUAAAGGAAUAAAACGAGGCACGUGUGCCUUUUUGCAUGUACUUUAUGAAUAAGGAUCGGCUAACUCCGUGCCAGCAGCCGCGGUAAUACGGAGGAUCCGAGCGUUAUCCGGAUUUAUUGGGUUUAAAGGGAGCGUAGAUGGGUUGUUAAGUCAGUUGUGAAAGUUUGCGGCUCAACCGUAAAAUUGCAAUUGAUACUGGCAGUCUUGAGUACAGUUGAGGUAGGCGGAAUUCGUGGUGUAGCGGUGAAAUGCUUAGAUAUCACGAAGAACCCCGAUUGCGAAGGCAGCUUGCUAAACUGUGACUGACAUUGAUGCUCGAAAGUGUGGGUAUCAAACAGGAUUAGAUACCCCUGUAGUC
rnacentral:rRNA from 1 species